UACGUAGGGGGCAAGCGUUGUCCGGAUUUAUUGGGCGUAAAGAGCGUGUAGGCGGCUAGAUAGGUCCGUUGUGAAAACUCGAGGUCUCAACCUCGAGACCGUCGAUGGAAACCAUCUGGCUAGAGUCCGGAAGAGGAGAGUGGAAUUCCGUGGUGUAGCGGUGAAAUGCGCAGAUAUCAGGAAGAACACCCGUGGCGAAGGCGGCUCUCUGGUACGUGACUGACGCUGAGACGCGAAAGCGUGGGGAGCAAACAGG
rnacentral:rRNA from 1 species